rfam:Triticum aestivum genome assembly, contig: Triticum_aestivum_CS42_TGACv1_scaffold_121468_2AS
CUUGUACUCCCUCCGUCCGAAAAUACUUGUCAUUGAAAUGGAUGUAUCUAGAUGUAUUUUAGUUCUAGACACAUCCAUUUUGAUGACAGGUAAUUCCAGACGGAGGGAGUACUUG